rnacentral:tRNA from 1 species
GGGGGUGGCUUGGUGUGAGUUCUGGAUUGCUAACCAAGGACUUCGGGGUUCGAUUCCCCGCACCUCCACCA